rnacentral:rRNA from 1 species
AGUGAACGCUGGCGGUAGGCCUAACACAUGCAAGUCGAACGGCAGCACAGUAAGAGCUUGCUCUUACGGGUGGCGAGUGGCGGACGGGUGAGGAAUACAUCGGAAUCUACUUUUUCGUGGGGGAUAACGUAGGGAAACUUACGCUAAUACCGCAUACGACCUACGGGUGAAAGCAGGGGAUCUUCGGACCUUGCGCGAUUGCAUGAGCCGAUGUCGGAUUAGCGAGGUGGCGGUGUAAAGGCCCACCAAGGCGACGAUCCGUAGCCGGUCUGCGAGGAUGCUCAGCCACACUGGAACUCAGACACAGUCCAGACUCGUACGGGGGGGAGCAGUAGGGAAUCUUGGCCAAUGGGCCCACGCCUGCUCCAGCCAUACCGCGUGGGUGAAGAAGGCCUUCGGGUUGUAAAGCCCUUUUGUUGUGAAAGACAAGCAGCAGGUUAAUACCCCGCUGUUAUGCAGGUACCCAAAGAGUAAGCACCGGCUAACUUCGUG